rnacentral:rRNA from 1 species
AUUGAACGCUGGCGGCAGGCCUAACACAUGCAAGUCGAACGAGUGGCGGACGGGUGAGUAAUGUAUGGGAAACUGCCUGAUGGAUGGGGAUAACUACUGGAAACGGUAGCUAAUACCGCAUACAUUCGGAUGUGCCCAGAUGGGUUUAGCUAGUUGGUGGGGUAACGGCUGACCAAGGCGACGAUCCCUAGCUGGUCUGAGAGGAUGCCCAGCCACACUGGAACUGAGACACGGUCCAGACUCCUACGGGAGGCAGCAGUGGGGAAUAUUGCACAAUGGGCGAAAGCCUGAUGCAGCCAUGCCGCGUGUGUGAAGAAGGCCUUCGGGUUGUAAAGUACUUUCAGUGGGGAGGCGUUACCCGCAGAAGAAGCACCGGCUAACUCCGUGCCAGCAGCCGCGGUAAUAC